rnacentral:tRNA from 1 species
CCCCAGGUGGCGAAAUUGGUAAACGCAUCAGCUUGAGGGGCUGACGCCCGCAAGGGUUUGCUGGUUCAAGUCCAGUCCUGGGGACCA